rnacentral:rRNA from 1 species
AGAGCGAACGCUGGCGGCAGGCUUAACACAUGCAAGUCGAGCGGGCGUAGCAAUACGUCAGCGGCAGACGGGUGAGUAACGCGUGGGAACAUACCUUUUGGUUCGGAACAACACAGGGAAACUUGUGCUAAUACCGGAUAAGCCCUUACGGGGAAAGAUUUAUCGCCGAAAGAUUGGCCCGCGUCUGAUUAGCUAGUUGGUGGGGUAACGCCCACCAAGGCGACGAUCAGUAGCUGGUCUGAGAGGAUGAUCAGCCACAUUGGGACUGAGACACGGCCCAAACUCCUACGGGAGGCAGCAGUGGGGAAUAUGGACAAUGGGCGAAAGCCUGAUCCAGCCAUGCCGCGUGAGUGAUGAAGGCCCUAGGGUUGUAAAGCUCUUUGUGCGGGAAGAUAAUGACGGUACCGCAAGAUAACGCCCGGCUAACUUCGCGCCAGCAGCCGC